GUCCACUUUUGAGCCACGAACGUUAAAAUCGUCUGAGUUGCACCCGAACUAUGAAAACUGCCUGUUUUUCAACUCCAUGUGGUUUUAAACAAGUGGGUUUGACUGACAACGAUGCCGUGUAUAUGCUGUAUCACUACCAUAACACUGGCAUGACAUCAAACAGAUCAGUCUCUUCACUGGAUGCGCAUGGUUCGGGUUAAAACCAUGCUAAACUCUCACUACUCAUCCUGUUCCUCAUUGCCCCCUCUGUCCUCUCUCAUUUCUGGUAUGUUUGACGGUGGGCCAGAGAUGUGGCAAACCACUAUGUCAGACGAAACCAUUUGUGAAACCAUCUGAGGUUGUAAAACAGACAGUUCUGACAGUUAAGAGGUUGCAACUCAGACGGUUUGGGGGUUCAGGGUUGAAAGUUUG